rnacentral:rRNA from 1 species
AGGGUUCGAUUCUGGCUCAGGAUGAACGCUAGCGGCAGGCCUAACACAUGCAAGUCGGACGGUAAAUGUUGUAGCAAUACAAUAUGAGAGUGGCAAACGGGUGAGUAACGCGUAUGCAACCUACCCUUAACUGUGGGAUAGCUCGGAGAAAUUCGGAUUAAUACCACAUAUUAUUAUGGACUGGCAUCUGUUUAUAAUAAAGAUUUAUUGGUUAAGGAUGGGCAUGCGUGCCAUUAGCUAGUUGGUAAGGUAACGGCUUACCAAGGCGACGAUGGCUAGGGGGUCUGAGAGGAUGGUCCCCCACACUGGUACUGAGACACGGACCAGACUCCUACGGGAGGCAGCAGUGAGGAAUAUUGGUCAAUGGACGCAAGUCUGAACCAGCCAUGCCGCGUGAAGGAAGAAGGCCCUAAGGGUUGUAAACUUCUUUUGUACGGGGGUAACUUUAGGCUCGUGAGCUUAAUUGAAAGUACUGUACGAAUAAGCGUCGGCUAACUACGUGCCAGCAGCAGC